GACGAACGCUGGCGGCGUGCCUAAUACAUGCAAGUCGAACGCAGUGGGGACGGGUGAGUAACACGUGGGUAACCUCCCAUCAGAGGGGAUAACACUUGGAAACAGGUGCUAAACCGAUACUGAUGGAUGGACCCGCGGUGCAUUAGCUAGUUGGUGAGGGAAUGGCUCCACAAGGCCACGAUGCAUAACCGGCCUGGGAGGGAUAACGGCCAAACUGGGAAUGAGACACGGCCCAGGCCCCUACGGGGGGCAGCAGUAGGGAAUCAUCGGAAAUGGGGGGAACCCUGACCGAGCAACGCCGCGUGAGUGAAGAAGGUUUUCGGAUCGUAAAGCUAUGUUGUUAAGGAAGCGGUACUUAACGAGAAAGGGACGGCUAACUACGUGCCAGCAGCCGCGGUAAUUC
rnacentral:rRNA from 1 species